rnacentral:tRNA from 1 species
CGGCGCGGGCUCCGCGGCGGGAGCAUCGGCCUUGGCUGCCGGGGCAGCCGCGCCGGUUCCAGCGCCGGCGGCGCCGUCC